GAUGAACGCUGGCGGCGUGCCUAAUACAUGCAAGUCGAGCGAACAGACGAGGAGCUUGCUCCUCUGACGUUAGCGGCGGACGGGUGAGUAACACGUGGAUAACCUACCUAUAAGACUGGGAUAACUUCGGGAAACCGGAGCUAAUACCGGAUAAUAUAUUGAACCGCAUGGUUCAAUAGUGAAAGACGGUUUUGCUGUCACUUAUCGAUGGAUCCGCGCCGCAUUAGCUAGUUGGUAAGGUAACGGCUUACCAAGGCGACGAUGCGUAGCCGACCUGAGAGGGUGAUCGGCCACACUUGAACUGAGACACGGUCCAGACUCCUACGGGAGGCAGCAGGAGGGAAUCUUCCGCAAUGGGCGAAAGCCUGACGGAGCAACGCCGCGUGAGUGAUGAAGGUCUUCGGAUCGUAAAACUCUGUUAUUAGGGAAGAACAAAUGUGUAAGUAACUAUGCACGUCUUGACGGUACCUAAUCAGAAAGCCACGGCUAACUACGUG
rnacentral:rRNA from 1 species